UGCAUUUAAUUAUGUGGUAAUUCAGAUUACUCUGUUGCUUCAUCAGAGAAAUCUGAAGGUGUGGGAAAUGGCGGAAAAUCAUAUUGUGCACAAAAUCAAGAACUUUGAGAGCUGAAAGGAACUUGAUUGACCACCUCCUCCAGUUCCCUAUUGUUUUAUAGCUACUUAAGGUCAAGCUGUGCUAAGGAGAAUGUCAGUCUACUCCAUCCUUCAGGAGAAAUGCAGCCACUGCAGUCAGAAGAGACAGGGAGACCACAAGAGACAGGAAACCAUGAGCCGACUGGCCUGCACUACCACAAGAGAGGCGACGUUCCCGUAUGGCUUGAAGUUUAGGGGGAAGUGGAUCCCUGAUAUGAAAACUGUGGUCCCUGAGCCAGAGGCAUUACAGUCACCUGAUUAUAACCUACUUGUGCUAUGCCUUGGUCAUAACUGGAGUCUGUAUCGUGUCUCAAAAAAAGAUCGACAUAACUGUUACUGAAUGAUUAAGUGAAUGAAGUAAUGGAUGAGUAAAUGAAUGCACAUCGAAUGAAUAGGCAUUACCAGAGAUGAGCCACAAGUGGAUCUUGGAGGAAAAAGAAAUCAAAGGAUUAAAAGUUUCUAAGUGUGGUUGACUAGGGAAAAGCAUAGCAUUGUUAGUUGAAUUGCCUGGCACCUAAUAAGUACUCAAUGAGUAUAAACUUAUAUAUGUAUGCUAGUGAAAAGAGACAAAUCUGGAAAGUACUGAAAGCCCACUACACACUUUUGGUAGUUUAACAGAGAGCUAGCCCCUGUGUUAACUCAACAGAUGCCAGUUGCUAAAUUCCAGAGGCUCUUUCUAACUAGGCCACUUCCUAAACAUCAACUUUUUAUUCUUACAUAGUUCCUAAGAAUGCCUUAUUCUCCAUUUCCUACAAAUACAUCGGGUAUAAUGGGGGAUAACGUCUAUCUCUUGGAACCCUGUGUGUCCAGCCCAGACAUACCUGGCCUAAGUACCCCUCUUUUUCUCUCUUUGAGAGUAAUGACAGCUUGAUGGAUUGUGGAUUGUGUGCACUCUGUACUUCUCUCAUGUAAGUUUUCCCCCAGAAAACCUUAUUAUAUAUUUUACAUCAUGUGGUCUUAGCAUGUGGGGAACUGAAAUAUCCCACAUAUCAUAGUUAAUACACAACACACUUAUAGUUGAGAUUUUAGAGGGGGGAUGUUAUGAGGGAAAUUUUAAUUUUAAAUAUGAUCCAGAGAGCUAUCAUCUGUAAAAAUGAACAUCAAUUUGAUACAGAUUAUAAAAUCCUAUUUAAAUAGAUUUGUAAAUACUUAAAUCUUUUUAAUAGAAAUUCUACAAAACUUAUUUUUUAAUGGAAAACACUCAUUAAACACGAACUUCAGAUCAAAUCAACUGAUACCUCUUUAUUGAAUGCAAGCUUGUGAUUGGCACUGUUUUGUAGCUAAUAAAAGCAGAAGGAAUGAUAGAACUAGAAAAGUA
rnacentral:lncRNA from 13 species